CCUAGCUUUAUCUUGUUCUGCCAACAGAUCUUAGAGAUGCUGAGCCAAAUUUUGCAAACUGAUUCUCUCACUGCAAUCCAACAAUGACUUCUGCCUUCUGAACAGAAAGAGAAAGAUCUAGUAAUGGGCAUGAUUCAAACAGCAACCGCCAAUAUGCAGCCAGAUUCACAGACAUGUGGCAAAUCUAUGGGGGACCAGCUCCAUUCCCAGGCAGGCCUUGGAUUACUGUCAAGAGAUGAAUACCACCAGAUGAAAAAUAUGAACAGCUUCAUGCCAUGACUUUUACUUUCUAUGUGGAGUCCAGCAACAAAGAGAAACAAGAACCUAUCCCAGAAGAAGAUAAACCAGAGCAUAUGGGUGCUGCAGAGGUGCUCCAGAUACACUCAUCAGGCAAUGAAAACCAGACUGGCUCAGCUGAAUAAUUUGCAUUUCAUAUUGCAUCAGGAUAAACUAUGCCCUACAAACCAAGCCAAACUAACCUGUUGGAACGUUUUUUGUGCUAUCUUGUGAUUCCUUUAUGCCUCUGGCAACUCUCAUGUGUCCCUGAUGCUUUAUUUUCACUCAGCAGUAUCUCUAAGAUGCAUUAAAUGACAGGUAAUUCUAAGAAGAGAUAACUCGUACACAUUGAAUUUUGAAUAUUGAAUAAAAUAUUUAAU